AACGAACGCUGGCGGCAUGCCUAACACAUGCAAGUCGAACGAAGGCUUCGGCCUUAGUGGCGCACGGGUGCGUAACGCGUGGGAAUCUGCCCUUGGGUUCGGAAUAACUCAGAGAAAUUUGAGCUAAUACCGGAUGAUGACGUAAGUCCAAAGAUUUAUCGCCCAAGGAUCAGCCCGCGUAAGAUUAGCUAGUUGGUGGGGUAAAGGCCUACCAAGGCGACGAUCUUUAGCUGGUCUGAGAGGAUGAUCAGCCACACUGGGACUGAGACACGGCCCAGACUCCUACGGGAGGCAGCAGUGGGGAAUAUUGGACAAUGGGCGAAAGCCUGAUCCAGCAAUGCCGCGUGAGUGAUGAAGGCCUUAGGGUUGUAAAGCUCCUUUACCAGGGAUGAUAAUGACAGUACCUGGAGAAUAAGCUCCGGCUAACUCCGUG
rnacentral:rRNA from 1 species